GGGGAGGGGUUGGGGUGAGGGCUGGCCUGUCUGAGGAGGGGCAUUUGCAGUGCUGGAGCAAGCCAUGGAGGACAGGAAUUGCUCCAGUCAGAGGAACAGCAAGGACAAGGGGCCCAAGACGGCAUGUACUAGAGGCUCCACGCAUAGAAAAAGCCAGCCAUCCCCAGCGCUGUAACUGAGUGGCCAGUGGUGGGAGGUGAGGUCACAGACGCGGAGGGGGCAUACAUGGGAAUUUCAACAGCAGAGCAUUCAAGCAAGCAUGGGUCCAUCUAAGUAUGACUGUGCAGGUUGAAUGCCUAUGAAGUAAACUCUGUCCCCAUUUUAAGAUGAAGAAACUGAGGCUCAAGGAGGUUAAGUAAUGUCCCUGGGGGUCAUGCAACUAGGAAACAGCAAAGUUGAGAUCUGUGUUCUUUAUUACAGUCUUUGUAAUAGUUAAUUUUAUGCAUCAACUUGACUGGAUCACAGUGUGCCCAGAUAUUUGAUCAAACAUUAUUCUGAGUGUUUCCGUGACAAUGUUUUUGGAUACAAUCAACAUUUAUUUAAUUGGUUGAAGACCUGAAUAGAACAAAGAGUUCAAUUCUCUCAAGUAAGAGAAUUCCUCCUGUCUGACUACUUCAGAAUUGGGACAUUGGCUUUUUCCUGCCUCUACACUACAACUACACCAUCAAGCCUUCAGACAUGGAAAGGAACCACACUAUUGGCUCUCCUCGGUCUUCAGCUUGCCAACUCAAUGCAGAUCUUUGCAUUUGUCAGCCUUAUAACCAUGUGAGCUAAUUCCCUAAAAUAAAUGUCCUCAUUUAAAUGUA
rnacentral:lncRNA from 1 species